ACACCCUCAAGCACUGCUUGGUGUUGGGCGUCUGUCCCGCCUCCGCGCGUGGACUCGCCUCAAAGCGAUUGGCGGCUGGUAAGAAGGCCUGGAGUGCAGCAGGAUUGCGCCCCUUGUCCGGAGGCCGGCUCCCAGAAGCUGAACCCCCCAU
rnacentral:misc_RNA from 1 species